rnacentral:rRNA from 1 species
UCAGGCCUAACACAUGCAAGUCGAGCGGACAGAAGGGAGCUUGCUCCCGGAUGCUAGCGGCGGACGGGUGAGUAACACGUGGGUAACCUGCCUGUAAGACUGGGAUAACUCCGGGAAACCGGAGCUAAUACCGGAUAGUUCCUUGAACCGCAUGGUUCAAGGAUGAAAGACGGUUUCGGCUGUCACUUACAGAUGGACCCGCGGCGCAUUAGCUAGUUGGUGGGGUAAUGGCUCACCAAGGCGACGAUGCGUAGCCGACCUGAGAGGGUGAUCGGCCACACUGGGACUGAGACACGGCCAAGACUCCUACGGGAGGCAGCAGUAGGGAAUCUUCCGCAAUGGACGAAAGUCUGACGGAGCAACGCCGCGUGAGUGAUGAAGGUUUUCGGAUCGUAAAGCUCUGUUGUUAGGGAAGAACAAGUGCGAGAGUAACUGCUCGCACCUUGACGGUACCUAACCAGAAAGCCACGGCUAACUACGUGCCAGCAGCCGCGGUAAUACGUAGGUGGCAAGCGUUGUCCGGAAUUAUUGGGCGUAAAGGGCUCGCAGGCGGUUUCUUAAGUCUGAUGUGAAAGCCCCCGGCUCAACCGGGGAGGGUCAUUGGAAACUGGGAAACUUGAGUGCAGAAGAGGAGAGUGGAAUUCCACGUG